UGUUCCCAGAGCACAGCCCACUGCCUUGAACACUUCUUCAUAGGCUGCUUACUCUGUGCAGCAUUCAGUCCCAGUCAGCACACAGCUUGGACAUGAGGACCCCUGCUCAGCUCCUGGGGCUCCUGCUGUUUUGCUUCCCAGGUGCCAGAUGUGACAUCCAGAUGACCCAGACUCCAUCCUCCCUGUCUGCAUCUCCAGGAGACACAGUCACCAUCAAUUGCAGGGCCAGUCAGGGCAUUAGCAGUUGGUUAGCCUGGUAUCAGCAGAAAACAGGGAAAGCUCCCAAACUGCUGAUAUCCAAAGCAUCUAAUUUAGAAUCAGGUGUCCCAUCCAUAUUCAGUGGCAGUGGAUCUGGAACAGAGUUCACUCUCACCAUCAGCAACCUGCAGCCUGAAGAUUUUGGUACUUAUUUCUGUAUGCAGCAUAGCAGCUAUCCUACCACAGUGAUACAAGUCAUGUCAAAAACCUCCAAGGGAAGCAGAAGUAAGACACUGGGCUGCCCCAGCUGCUGCUCCUGCAGCCUCCACCUGCUGACAGUGCUGCUCAGAUGCAUUUCUGAGGGUGAGAAAACAAGAGAUAACAAUGACCUCUGCUCUGCAACCAGAGUAAUGAAACCUCCAUAUAGAUCGACCACACUCAUUCUACAAGGAGACAUGUUUGAUGAGAUGGCCAUGGCUGACUUUUCUAUUUUCAACCUCAGAUACCACUAG